CCGCCACGUCGCUUCUAUAUAUACCGGCCCCUGAUCGAACGUGCUUCCUCCGCCGCGCGCAACCACCACCUCAGCCUUGCGCGUCUUCUGCAACUAGUGCCGUCGUUUUCAGAUAAUUAAGAGGUAUGCGAUUGUUGAAAGAAGUAAUGGCACCGAAUGAUGAACUGUUACAGAGCUUUGGAAUCAUAUGCACAUGAAGCUUGUCAGUGUUAUUGUGUUUUUUUUUUUCUGUAUAUAAACCAAAGAUUUGAUUUGGCAUUUCAUGAAGGUAGAAAGCUAACUCCAAAAGGUUCAUUCUAAAAUAAUCUACUGUCGAUCAACUGAGUUGAGAUUCUUAA